rnacentral:tRNA from 1 species
GGGCUUCUAGUUUCAUUGGUUGAAACGUACCGCUCAUAACGGUUCUAUUGUAGGUUCGAGCCCUACUAAGCCUAC